AUUUGAUGAUAUGGAUAGCUUGCACAUAGCCUCUUGAACCGCUCCCAGUAUUCAUAUAAAAUUUCUCCAUUUUUCUGCCUUAUUCCAUUGAUUUCCUUUCUGAUU